UCGCGUCAUCACUAUUCAUUAGGAUGGGUAAGGCCCUAAUCUCCUCUGCCAUGGACAAUAGUGAAUAGCCUUCAGGGUUCUUGUCUUGCUCCUGGGCCAACACCACGCGCUGGCGAGUGGCUACCGAUCUGGCGCCUGCCAGCCAGGGUCAGGUCAAAGGAAUUCAUGGAUGAAAGGUGUUCGAUGGAAUGACGGCGAGAGAUGCUCUUCUACAGGGAUGCACGGAUGUCAUGAAUGGUGCGUACGUAUAAAUUCUUCAGUUCUUCACCCAUGUUUCCUGCUCCAUCCUACUGCCAGUGGAACAUCUCGUGUUCUUGUUGCCGCGUGCAGUGGACAAAGUCUUCAUCACUAGUUGUUGCAUCCUCAAAGCAAAACUAUUGAUACUAAAUGGUGUGUCUGCUUGGGAGACUACUGCUGGCUAGUUUAUGUAUUUUGCCCCCCAAAUCUCACUGCACCAGUCGCAGAUAAUACAAUCUCACCUCCUCUGCAACU